AUGGCAUCCCCGGCGCGGCUAGCCUCCGUCUCCGGCCCCUUCGGCUCCGCUGCUGACCUCACCAUCUUCUCCACUCCGACCACGACGCGGCGGGCGGAUCCGGGCCGUGCGAGCGAGACGGCAGCCAGAUCCUCGACGGCGAGGACACGCAGCGGUCCCCGCCGGCCAAAUCAGGCCCCCCCCCACCAGUGA
rnacentral:rRNA from 1 species